CAGUUAAUGUGUGUAUAUUAUUAUUUUAAUACAGUAUAAUAGGUGAUGCUGGUUUUUGUACCAGUAAGUCAUUACAGCUGCUAGGAUGGAAUGGGUGUGGUCUAUCUUUUAUCAUGUGACAGGAAACAAAAAUCAAUUGGUGAAGGUCACUGUAGUACUUAUAAACUGAUUCAACCACAUGCAGUUAAGUGUGGACACAAUUGAGCUGGUUUCUGAACCAUUUUAAGUUGAACUGGCUUGUAUGUAUAGAUGUGACUUAAUUUUUGUGAUUUUUUGGUAAAUUUCAAAUAUGCAGUUUUUGUGAUUUUUGAUAUUGUA